CCGAACAGCUGGAAGUGCCGGAGUGGAUGUCUCAACAAUAGAAACCAUUCUACUAUGGAACUCUCAGAUUUCGAAGGAAAGAUAGAUAUUCAUCUUCCUGCACACAAAAUGUUUACCUUGCUACAAAAUAUACAACUAGAAGAAAAAGAAUUGUGUGCAGAGUUACCUACUGAUGGUCCUACAGUAUUUACGGAUGGCAGUGGAAAAACAGGAAAGGCAGUAGUAGUUUGGAAAGAAGGUCAGAAAAUGGGCCAAAGUGGAUUCCAACUAAAUGGACGAAACCUUAUGCUGAGAUUGAUAUGGAAC